rfam:Macaca mulatta chromosome 18, whole genome shotgun sequence.
UGGCGCCCGAACAGGGACCUGGAAACGAGGGACUCCGUGAGGAAGAGGACGCCAAAGGACGGUCGACCGCUAACGAAGACAAAAGGAGUCAAACUUUUCCGAUCACUGCGGGAACCUGCCGCGUCAGAAUCGAAGGUAAGUGACGCGUCCGAAAUGGGACAAGAAUUAAGCCAACAUCAAAUAUAUGUAGGACAAUUAAAAGAGGCUUUAAAGAUA